GACCGGGCUGUGAGAGGAGAACUGGGGCAGAGAACAGGCACGGUGUGACGGGGGAACCGGGACGGGAACGGGGGCCAGGGCGGUGUGAGGAGAACCGGGACAGGGAACGAGGCGGUGUGAGGGGAACCGGGAUAGGGAAACGGGAUAGGGAAACAGGCUGGUGUGAGGCGAUCCGGGACGGGUGAAUGGGACAGGGAGACGGGAUAGGGAUCGGGGCGGUGUGAGGGGAACCGGGGCAGGAAACGGGUCGGUGUGAGGGGACUCCGCGACAGGGAAACGGGACGGAGAAGCGGAACGGUGUGAGGGACGGGACCGGGACGGGAACCGGGGCGGUGUGAGGGGCUGCUGGGAGGGGGAACCCGAGACAGCCGGUCAUCGGGCAGGAGCCUUCCUGCGGCAGGGCCUCUCACGAACGCCAAGUUCAAAACCUGGAGUUAUCGAAGAAACUAAGGAGCUUUAACCUAAAUUUCGAGGUAAACCCAGAGAAGAACCAGUACCCGUGUCUGAGGCUGGAUCCUACGGCUGGCAUGAGGAACUGCACGGUGCUGGGGUGAAGACAGGUACUGCUGUUAAAUUACACACUUCAAUGGCUGCUAAACCAGUACAAUUCCAACUCGUGAGAAGUCAGAAUCCAACGCAAGUAAUUUGCCAGAGUGGCUGAUCCAGGGACCGGCUGUGUGGUUUCUCUUAUUUGGGAAAAGCAGGACUGAUGCAGACGCUCACCUGUACAGGUUCUCAACCCUCCCCUUCAAUAUCGUACCUAAGGCCACCCCUUCCAUAGACAGCAGCCGUGUUCUUUGGAGAAUUUUAUUAAAAUAUAUCCAAGAAGUAAUCAAACAUUUUCUUAUGAGUCAGGAGAGAACUGAAGUGAGAAAAACAUCUGUACAGAGGA